GACGAACGCUGGCGGCGUGCUUAACACAUGCAAGUCGAACGGAAAGGCCCUGCUUUUGUGGGGUGCUCGAGUGGCGAACGGGUGAGUAACACGUGAGUAACCUGCCCUUGACUUUGGGAUAACUUCAGGAAACUGGGGCUAAUACCGGAUAGGAGCUCCUGCUGCAUGGUGGGGGUUGGAAAGUUUCGGCGGUUGGGGAUGGACUCGCGGCUUAUCAGCUUGUUGGUGGGGUAGUGGCUUACCAAGGCUUUGACGGGUAGCCGGCCUGAGAGGGUGACCGGCAACAUUGGGACUGAGAUACGGCCCAGACUCGUACGGGAGGCAGCAGUGGGGAAUAUUGCACAAUGGGCGGAAGCCUGAUGCAGCAAUGCCGCGUGCGGGAUGACGGCCUUCGGGUUGUAAACCGCUUUCGCCUGUGACGAAGCGUGAGUGACGGUAAUGGGUAAAGAAGCACCGGCUAACUACGUG
rnacentral:rRNA from 1 species